rnacentral:rRNA from 1 species
AGUGGAUGGGGAGCAACCUAGUUGUGCGUGUGUAAAGGUAGUGCCAAGAAAAGCGAUGAUCAUGUUGAAAAUCAAUUCCCGGUACCCGAAACCGACACAGGUGGGCAAGUAGAGAAUACUAAGGGGCGCGAGGUAACUCUCUCCAAGGAACUCGGCAAAAUGACCCCGUAACUUAGGGAGAAGGGGUGCCACCGAGAGGUGGUCGCAGUGAAGAGGCCCAGGCGACUGUUUAGCAAAAACAUAGGUCUCUGCAAACUCGAAAGAGGAGGUAUAGGGGCUGACGCCUGCCCAGUGCCGGAAGGUUAAAGAAGUUGGUCAGUUUUAGGAUGAAGCUAGCGACUGAAGCCCCGGUGAACGGCGGCCGUAACUAUAACGGUCCUAAGGUAGCGAAAUUCCUUGUCGGGUAAGUUCCGACCCGCACGAAAGGCGAAACGAUCUGGGCGCUGUCUCGGAGAGAGGCUCGGCGAAAUAGGAUUGUCUGUGAAGAUACGGACUACCUGCAUUUGGACAGAAAGACCCUAUGAAGCUUUACUAUAGCUUGGAAUUGUGUUCGGGCUUCCUGUGCGCAGGAUAGGUGGGAGGCGUAGAAGGUAUUCUUGUGGGGAUACUGGAGCCAACGGUGAGAUACCACUCUCAGGAGGCUAGAAUUCUAACUUAAUUAAGGACAGUUUCAGGUGGGUAGUUUGACUGGGGCGGUCGCCUCCAAAAAGGUAACGGAGGCGUACAAAGGUUCCCUCAGACUGGUUGGAAAUCAGUCGAAGAGUGCAAAGGCAGAAGGGAGCUUGACUGCGAGAAGUACAGUUCGAGCAGGGUGGAAACACGGUCUUAGUGAUCCGACGGUGCUGUGUGGAAGGGCCGUCGCUCAACGGAUAAAAGUUACUCUAGGAUAACAGGCUGAUCUCCCCCAAGAGUUCACAUCGACGGGGAGGUUUGGCACCUCGAUGUCGGCUCAUCGCAACCUGGGGCGGAAGUACGUCCCAAGGGUUGGGCUGUUCGCCCAUUAAAGCGGUACGUGAGCUGGGUUCAGAACGUCGUGAGACAGUUCGGUCCAUAUCCGAUGUAGGCGUGAGAAUAUUGAGAGGAGCCUUCCUUAGUACGAGAGGACCGGGAAGGACGCACCGCUGGUGUACCUGUUAUGAUGCCAAUUGUAAACGCAGGGUAGCCAAGUGCGGAGAGGAUAACCGCUGAAAGCAUCUAAGUGGGAAGCCCACCUCAAGAUGAGUAUUCUGGUGUAAGGUCACGGGAAGACGACCCGUAAAUAGGCACGAGGUGGAAGUGCAGAGAUGUAUGAAGCCGAAGUGUACUAAUAGACCGUCGGCUUGACC